CCUACGGGUGGCAGCAGUGGGGAAUAUUGGGCAAUGGGCGCAAGCCUGACCCAGCAACGCCGCGUGAAGGAAGAAGGCUUUCGGGUUGUAAACUUCUUUUGUCAGGGACGAAGCACGUGACGGUACCUGACGAAUAAGCCACGGCUAACUACGUGCCAGCAGCCGCGGUAAUACGGCGGUGGCAAGCGUUAUCCGGAUUUACUGGGUGUAAGGGGCGUGUACGCGGGACUGCAAGUCAGAUGUGAAAACCACGGGCUCAACCUGUGGCCUGCAUUUGAAACUGUAGUUCUUGAGUACUGGAGAGGCAGACGGAAUUCCUAGUGUAGCGGUGAAAUGCGUAGAUAUUAGGAGGAACACCAGUGGCGAAGGCGGUCUGCUGGACAGCAACUGACGCUGAGGCGCGAAAGCGUGGGGAGCAAACAGGAUUAGAUACCCUUGUAGUC
rnacentral:rRNA from 1 species